rnacentral:rRNA from 1 species
AUUGAACGCUGGCGGCAUGCUUUACACAUGCAAGUCGAACGGUAACAGGUUAAGCUGACGAGUGGCGAACGGGUGAGUAAUGCAUCGGAACGUGCCCGAUCGUGGGGGAUAACGCAGCGAAAGCUGCGCUAAUACCGCAUGCGAUCUGAGGAUGAAAGCGGGGGACCGUAAGGCCUCGCGCGAUCGGAGCGGCCGAUGUCAGAUUAGGUAGUUGGUGGGGUAAAGGCUCACCAAGCCAACGAUCUGUAGCUGGUCUGAGAGGACGACCAGCCACACUGGGACUGAGACACGGCCCAGACUCCUACGGGAGGCAGCAGUGGGGAAUUUUGGACAAUGGGCGAAAGCCUGAUCCAGCAAUGCCGCGUGCAGGAAGAAGGCCUUCGGGUUGUAAACUGCUUUUGUACGGAGCGAAAAAGCUCUCUCUAAUACAGGGGGCUCAUGACGGUACCGUAAGAAUAAGCACCGGCUAACUACGUGCCAGCAGCCGCGGUAA